AGCAGCCGCGGUAAUUCCAGCUCCAAUAGCGUAUAUUAAAGUUGUUGCAGUUAAAAAGCUCGUAGUUGAAUUUCGGGAUCAAUGUUUCGGUCAUGCCCUUGGUAUGUACUGAUAUUAUUGGUUUCUCACCUUCUAAAGAACCGUAAUGCCAUUAAUUUGGUGUCACGGGGAAUUAGGACUGUUACCUUGAAAAAAUUAGAGUGUUUAAAGCAGGCUCACGCUUGAAUACAUUAGCAUGGAAUAAUGAAAUAGGACAUCCGAUUCUAUUUUGUUGGUUUCUAGGAUCGAUGUAAUGAUUAAUAGGGAUAGUUGGGGGCAUUAGUAUUCAAUUGUCAGAGGUGAAAUUCUUGGAUUUAUUGAAGACUAAUUACUGCGAAAGCAUUUGCCAAGGAUGUUUUCAUUAAUCAAGAACGAAAGUUAGGGGAUCGAAGACGAUCAGAUACCGUCGUAGUCUUAACCAUAAACUAUGCCGACUAGGGAUCGGAUGAUGUUAAUUUUUUAAUGACUCA
rnacentral:rRNA from 1 species